GGAGAGUAAGGUGGCGAAUCCAAGCACCAAGCAGUGUUGUAGCUUUGAACUGCAACUGUUCUGUUUGUUCCAUGAGGGCUGGCACUCAGUUCAUUGUCCCUUCUGAAAAGUUUGAGCUUCUAGGAGAUUCCAAAGAAUGUCUUACAACCUACACUUUUGGCACGCAUACAGCAAAGCACACAUUCUGUAAGUUCUGUGGCAUAACUUCGUUUUACGUUCCACGAGCAGAUCCAGACGGGUUUUCGAUUACUGUCAGUUGUGUUGACCCUGGGACUCUCACUCAUGUUGAGAUUAAGCACUUUGAUGGACAGAAUUGGGAAAGGUCAUACAAUCAGGCAUUUGCUUCAUGCUCCCAAGGUGCUGGCUGCUGAAGUGUCGUUCUUUCUACCACCACUCUCCUCGCCUUCCCUCCCUAAAGUAGUACAAUAUUAUGGAAAAACCUUUGUGAUAUCGCUCUUUGGAACAUUCUCAGAGUUGGAAAAUAAAAUUAGCUAUGUUAGCUAAUUGAUUGGUUAUACGUGUAGCUAAUUGAUUGGUUACUUGUGCUAUUGACUGUUCAUGUUUUAAUAAAGACUUUGUUCAUCCUUAAUGAGGUACAAGCCUGAGCACUUACAAAUUUCAGAUUUGAAGGAAGCUCCCCGAGUGAUUGAAGCCUCUUGCAAUCAUCCAAAUAUAGAUAUUCAAGAUUGGAAGGUUCGUGGAUACUUGCAGGUAGACUAGUAAAGUUGUUGCCACUCACGUUUUUUAUUAAUUUAGUCAAAGCAAUCUUCUAGUUUUGAAAGUAUAAUAAUUUUUGUUUUUAAAUAUUUUUUAAAAUAUAUUUAAUGUAAAAAAAAACAUCAAUUAAUAUUUUUUUUUAGUUUCUUAUCAUAUUUUUAAUUUUUUGAUAUUAAAAAUAAUUUUUUUAAUAAAUUUACAAUAAAAUAUAUUUUUAAAAAAUAAAAGAAGAGACAAAAAUAUCCAUCCACCAUAAUUAAAGGUGAUUUGACAUCCUCCAGACAUUACAUAUUAUAUCAUAUCAUAUCAUACAAAGAUAUUUAUCCUGUAAUUUAAAAUAAUAAAAGAGUUGAUGUAAAGUUAGCAUGUCACCUUUUGACGAAACUUCCCUCACAUUAGCUAGAAAGGUGCUACCCUCAAAUCGGUGUGACGUUCGAUUGUAGUAAGCUCGUGCAAGAGUUGUCUUUUCUAUUCCUCCCAUCCCACAAAUCCCUAUGAUGCGAACACCAUUAGACCCUAGAUAGUGCAGGGCUCAGUAUACUCAGUAUGCUUUGCACAAUAUCUUGUAUAAAGUUUGAUUCAUGCCUAUAAACUGGAAGGAUGAAUAAGAAAGUUUCGAGUCGUAAUACAUUUUGAAGGAAAAAAAUAAAUCAGUGUUCGUCUACAUAUUACAAUUAAAAAAAAAUGGCAUAUGACAUCAUGUGUCAUACUUGGAAGAAGGGGAGGUCAUGCUAAUGCAGAAAAUAUAAGCGUGCAUCUCUUAGUGCAGAGAUUUAUACAGACAUGUACUAUUUAAAGGAUAGACAGAAGGGCUUAAACUUAUAAAAUUCUGGAAAUUUUUGCAGUAACUGAUAUCUGUCAAACUUUGAGUCUUUCCCAACUGAAAUUGUAGUUCUGAUAUUUAAGAUUGUUUGAAAAUGAUUUGGCUUUUAAGCAAACCCAGUGAAUUUUGUUACUGUUUUGUUUUCAGACAGAUGGGUAAAGAUAGAUAGAUAAACUUAAAGAGAAAGAGUUGCAUUUAACAUUUUACGGCUUGUUUUUCAAAGUCAAUGACUGCUAGGCUGCUGACCAUGUUGAAAAUGUUAUACUUUUAAAAAAUAAAAUGAAAAUUGUUUUUUAAAGUAUUUUUUAUUUUAAAAUAUAUUAAAAUAUUUUUUUAUAUUUUUAAAAUUUUAAUUUUGAUAUCAGUAUUAUAAAAUAAACCAUUUAUAAUAAAAAUAAAAUUUAAAAUUUUAAAAAAAAAACGUUAUAAUCGCAAAAACAAGCAAUCAUAUAGAUUAUAUUUUUUAAGAGAUUUUAAAAAUAAAUGAAACCAGAAAAAAAAUUAAGCAUGUAUAUCUUUGCCUUAAUUUUCCUUUUCUAAAUAUCCUUUAGUGACAAAAUUUACCAUGUAAAAAGUCCUCCAACUUUUAUCCUUUUUUUUUCUUUCUUUGUGCCCAUGCUUAUUUCAUUUGAGUGAUUUUUAGAAUGUUGUUUUGAUAGAAAAACAUCUCAAAAUAAAAUUUAAUUGAUAUCUUUUCAACUCAAACAUGUAUUUGUUAUAAGUGAAAAUGGUGACAAAUUCAAGGAAAGUGUAAUGCUUCUUUACCAUCAAAACUCAAAGCCAUGCUUUAAGUUCAGAACUUCAUCAAAUGCCCUAAUUUAAAAAUAUUGGCUUUCAAUGUUACAUGACUGAAGAUGAAAGUUUUUAGAAGUUCACAUUACUUGCAAGUCUAACUAGGUUGGUGCCUUUCAGACCUUUUAAAUAGAGAAAAAAUAAAGAGGGAAUAAAAAAAAUGUCACGACUUGAAUCUCGGAUUCAUGACUAGCAACGCAGUGUCGAAAAAAUAUCAUACCUACACUAAGCCUCAGAACAAACAUAUCAAAAGAACAAAUUAUUUGAAAAUACACAGCUUUUCAUAAACCUCAAAAAAUAUUAUAUUAUAUUACUUGCAGGUCUAACCAGGUGCCUCUCAGACCUUUUAAAUAGAGAAAAAAAAGAGGUGAUAAAAAAAAAAUGACGAUCAUACAUACCUUUUGUUGAAAUAAUUAAGAUCAAACAUAAAAAGGGAAACUAGAAUUCUGAAUAAUCUAAAACAACUAAUAAAAUUGGUAAUAAUUUACUAAAUAACCCUUAAUUAUUCAUCAAACUAAUCUGUAAAAGCUAAUAUUACAGCUAGGGAUUAAUCUGGAAUUUAUCAUAUUUUUAGGGCCAAAUUAUAAAUUUUUUUCAAAUUGGAGGACCAAAUUGAAAGUGUUAAAUUUUCUUAUCUAUACAGUAAUUCUGCCCAUAAUUCAUAUGUUAUUCUGGUCAGAAUCUCGGAAUAUGCUCUAGGGAUAUAUUUGUAAUGUAUGAUCAUCAAUAAAAGAGAUAAUAUCGAGACCCACCUUUUGUAGCAACAAGAAAAGAUCCCCAUACAUCAGAAUGAAUCAAAUCAAAUGGUGAAGAAGAAACAGAAAUACUUCGAUUAAAAGGUAAGGCGGAAAUUUUUGACAAUUUACAUCCACUACAAUCAGAAAUGUCACAAGUUUUUAAAUUUUCUAAAGCUCCUGUGGAUGCCAAAAAUCUCAAACGAGAAGAUGAAACUAGACCUACACGGGAAUGCCAUAAAUAAAAACUAGAAGAUGAAAGACUCAAAUGAAAGGAAGACAAAUCAACGAUAGUAGCAGCAGUGGCAACAACAGCAACUGACACUUUUAACUCAUCCAAAAUAUAUAGUCCAUUCUCUCUACGACCUGUCCCAAUCAGCUUCUGAGACUACAGAUCCUGUAUACAACAAAACAACCAACCAGAAUAACAUAUUGAUCACAGACCACGCAAGAUUCAAUUUGAGUUUUGGAAUAAGAUAAACAUUAGGGAGAGACAAGUGAGGUGUGACAACAGAACCAACACCUGCUAAGGGCAUAUGAGUGCCAUCAACAGUCAUAACAGGAAUGGAGGACAAAGGGGACACAGAGGUAAAAGAUGAGGAAUUUGAAGACAUAUGAUGAGAAUCACCAGAAUCCAAGACCCAUUCAGAGUGUGACAUACCUGAGGAACUAUGAGGCAACUCACCUAUGGAAGAAGAAGCGGACAUUGCUUGUGGCUGCAAGGAGAGAAACUUUUUAAAUUGCUCAGCCAAAAUAUUAAGAUCGGUAAUAGAGCUUGAGGAAGCUACUGCUGCAAUAUUGUGGUAUGGUGGUUUAUAACCCUGAGGUGGUUUAUGAGCAUUAGAUUAUGAUUGAUUGCCAGACUUCCAAGCUUGAUUCUGCUUUCUCAACUUACGACACUGAGCCUUCCAAUGAACUUUCUGCUUACAGAAACUGCACUCAUCGAAGCCAACCCUUGUGUAAGGCUUAUUUUGAUGAUUAGAGAAUGACUUAGAAGGCACUGCUAAUACUGAAGGAUUUGAAGCAGAAAGAAUUCUCUUUUUAGAAUAAGACUGAAGACGUAUUUCUUCAGCCAAUAACUCACUAACAACAGAGUCAACAAAAGGCAGUGAAGAACGAUGCAGAAUUGAACCUCUAAGUCCUUUGAAAUCACGACGAAGUGCUGUUAAAAAUUGUACCAAUCGUUGUUGCUCUCUACACUCAAUAUAGGCAUCACAUGCCUUUAAUUAUGUCGAUUCUAUAAGAGCUAAUUGAUCCCAAAAAUUUGUCAUAUCAGAAUAAAACUCUUGAAUACUCAUAUUCUUCUGAUGAAAAGCUCGUAUGUCAUUCUCUAAUUAAUACUGUUUUGAAAAAUUUGAUUGUGUGAAUAACAUUUGUAGAUGAUUCCAAACCUCUUUUGUUGUCUUAUACUUCGCCAACUGCAUACCUAUUGAAUGCUCAACAUAAUUGUUGAUCCAAGUAAUAAUCUUUGCAUUAUUUGCUUCCCAUGUAUCUAUCAAAACAGCAUCCCCCUCCUCAAUAUUCUUAGGUAUCAUAUAAGUUCUACUAACAUACCUCCACAUCUUCUUACCCUUAAGGAAAUUUCGCAUUACAUAACUCCAAUACGAAUAGUUCUUCCCAUCCAACCUCACACUCACAGACUGAAGCGAAUCAUCUCUUUUAGUAGCCAUAAUCAACAGUCACAAAAAACCAAAAUGCAAGAGCAGCGAAAAAAAAAAAUACUAAAUUGCAGAAACUGAACUGAGAUUAUAAAAACUAAACAAAUAUCUUCUCGAAAUUAUACGAUUACUCCAAAACAAAAAAUAAAUUUGUAAAAAACUGAACGCAAAUACCAAAUUAUAGAAGCUGAAGGGAAGAUGAAAUACCAAAAUAAUUACAGAAACUGUAAAAAUACCAAAUUUUACAGAAGUGAAAGACAAAAUAUCACUCCAAAAACUUUUGUACCUGCAAUAUCUCUACAUGUCAAAGAACCUUCAAAUAUGAUCUAAGUCUUUGGUCAUGGGACUCAUGGGAAGGACUGAACUAUCAUGCCAUAAGAUGUCAAGUAAUACUUAACAAAAAAGCAUAUUGGGAAUAUUUGUCACCCCGUUAAUUUUACUCUUCUCAUAUUUACUAAUUUAAACAUCAAAUAAUCUUCUAUUUUGAUAAAUAACUGGGUUUUUAAGUGAACACUUGUUGAACCAAGGUCAAAACCAAUCAAUAAUCUAGAGAAACAGUUUUGGAAAGCCUAAGUCCCGUUCGAUGAUUUCACGAUUCCAUCAAUCACUUAUCAGCAAUUUUUAAUUAAAUUUAACAAAAUUAAUUAAGGGGAUUUUUGAGAAAAUCUUUGUCGAUAUACAAUCAUCGAUCUUUUGAUCAAAUUUUGAGGUCUACCUAUGAUCAUCAGCAGCUACGACAAAGUGGAAGAUUCGACUUCACCAUUGACAUAUAUAAAGAUUUUUUAUUACUAGAAACCUGGGUUUAAUAUUAUAUAUGUGUGUGUGUGUCAAAUUAAUGAAUGGACAGAUAUGUUUGGUGUUCGAGAUAUAGCAAGACCGUAUACAAAAACUAAUCAUAAAAAACAAAGGCAUCGAUUGACCCCAUGUACAUUUAGAUUAAACUCUCGUCUAGUGCCAUGUAUCAAGCAGAGUACUGUCUUGUUGGUUCUUCAUUAUGAAGAACAAUAAAACAAUCAAAUAUUAUAGAUUAAUCCAUAGAUAUCAUAUGGAAACAUGCAUAAAUUACAUGCCCAUGUAUAUAGGUUAGACAGAACACAAAACAUUAAUUCUAAACUCAUGAGUAAGCAUGUCUUGUCAUCACUAGGCUAUGAUAAUAUAAAAUUUAAGGUUUGAUCUACCCAUAGUAGAUGACUAAUUAAGUGCUUAGUACUGACACCUCCUAUCUAGAAAUGUUAUUGGUCGAGCUAAUUUUUUGUACCAGAGAAGCUCAAGUCAAUAAAUCUCUCAACUACCGAUAUAGUUGCCAUAAAUAUUUAGGGAAUCAUCUCAUGAGUUAAUGCUUCAACUCAUAUUUGUUAAACUCAAUUAACGGGUUAAUUUAAAAAAUUUAUAAUUCAGAAUUUGAUAUGGAUUAUGUUUUAAAUUAAUAAAAAAAAUGAUAAUUUGUGAAACACAGUUCACAUAUCGAGUAUUGGAUCAACUUGACAAUUACCUUUUAUGGAAGAGCCUAGGCAUAUAUGGCCAUGGGUUGUAAGACUCGCCACCACAUUUUUACAAGUGUUUUAGGCCCAUUAUUGGUCAUUCGGCUAAGAAACACACGUGAAAUUCUAUAGAAUGUGCCCAAAAAUUUGCCUCCAAUAUAUACACACGUUCUCAGACAGCUGAAAGCAGCAUUUGGUGCCAGCACGAGGCUUGAGCAACAGUCCUACAGCCAGCAAAAUUGACUUUUUUUUUCUUCAGGUAAAUCCCUUUGCUUUUCUUCUUAUCGAUGUUAAUGAUAAUCUUGUGUUAUAUCAUAUGUUGUUUCUCUGUCUGCUAAAUUCAGUUACAUGUAUUGUGGUUUGGAAUUUAUAUAUACUAAAGAUGUUAGUUUAUCCUGGCAACUAUAUAUGUUGGAGUUUAGAUCAACAACGUACUGAGAAAGUGUUUGUGGGUUCGAUUCAAUAAAGAAGAUUUAGAAGGACCAAGUUGGUGAUGUAUGAGGACUGUUACUGCUUUAGGCAAUGGAAAGAAAUGCAUGAUCUAUUGAAGUGUGUUUCUAAUAAGAAGAAAAUUAUUAGUGUUUGAUUGAUGCAUGCAUGAUCAGAUGGAGGGUUGGAGAUCAGGUAUUAUUUCAUAACAGGGGGACUUGUUGUAGCUUCGUUUUCAAAGCUGCUACUAGGGAGCUCCAGUGGGAUUUUGAGCUGGGGUUUGAUGGGGUAUUUGAAGACGGGGAUCUUUUUUCUAGCUGUUUUAGGUCAGUACAGUUGAUUGGUGAAUAUUUCUUAGACCGAGGUUGGUCGAAAGGAGUGUCAAUAGGUGCAAGGGAGGAUGAAGCUGGCUCUUGGAAAAGCACCAGUAGUGAUUGGAAAGUCUCUCAUCUGAGGUAGGUGAUGGGUGAAGGAACUUGUUGCGACAAGUGUUUGAUGUGGUGAAGAAGAAAAGGGAUUCAUGUUUAGUUAUAUUGAGGGCGAAGAGUGGAUGGCAUCAUGGGAUUUGACAUUCAAAGGAUUUCUUUCAGCCAAUAUGAAGUGUGUUGAUAAUAAGUAUUGAAAAGUUCUAGGUGGAUUUCGGCGUAUCUAAGACCCAAGCAUUUCUCACUUCUGAAUAUUUAAGGAUGCUGAAAACAACAAUGGCAAUUAGACCUGAUUUCUCUUUCCAUCUUCCCAUUUUCCUAGUUUUUCUCUUAUUGUAAUCGGUGUUCAAUGAAGUUUUCUAAAAACUUGGUUUCCUUCUUGUUUCCAUUAACCAAUUUCCACCUGAUCUGGCUUAAGCAGUUGUUUCUAAUGAGUUCUCAAUGUUUAGCAGAAAUUAUGCUUGCUUGUUGGAUAUUAUACAUAAAAACUCAAACUUUGUCCCGCCAUCAUUAUUUGCAAGCUUAUAAACAAUUUCAUAUAAUUUGAAGCAGCCUCCUUCCCCUUAUCUACUGAAUCGUAAUGUAAUUUCAAGUGAAAGCAAAUUCCAUGUUCUCACAAUAUGGCUCAUACCUGCAUUUCUCAGGAGAGAGUAUUUCAGCUGACACAUUUUUCAGUCUGGGGACUCUAUUUCUGAAUACUUGCUAUCCCAUUGCUGACUGCUAUGUAAUGUUUUCAUAUUUGUUAAUUGAUUGCAGCCACCGGAUUCAUCCAGGAGAAGCCACCAUUUCCAACCAGUGUUUUCGUGAAUGGAAUCAGAUAUGGUAAUGCAUCAUGGAGGAUGUCAUUGCAAGAGAGUAAGGUGGCGAAUCCAAGCACCAAGCAGUGUUGUAGCUUUGAACUGCAACUGUUCUAUUUGUUCCAUGAGGGCUGGCAUUCAGUUCAUUGUCCCUUCUGAAAAGUUUGAGCUUCUAGGAGAUUCCAAAGAAUUUCUUACAACCUACACUUUUGGCACGCAUACAGCAAAGCACACAUUCUGUAAGUUCUGUGGCAUAACUUCGUUUUACGUUCCACGAGCAGAUCCAGACGGGUUUUCGAUUACUGUCAGUUGUGUUGACCCUGGGACUCUCACUCAUGUUGAGAUUAAGCACUUUGAUGGACAGAAUUGGGAAAGGUCAUACAAUCAAACAUUUGCUUAAUGCUCCCAAGGUGCUGGCUGCUGAAGUGUCGUUCUUUCUACCACCACUCUCCUCGCCUUCCCUCCCUAAAGUAGUACAAUAUUAUGGAAAAACCUUUGUGAUAUCGCUCUUUGGAACAUUCUCAAAGUUGGAAAAUAAAAUUAGCUAUGUUAGCUAAUUGAUUGGUUAUACGUGUAGCUAAUUGAUUGGUUACUUGUGCU
rnacentral:lncRNA from 1 species